rnacentral:tRNA from 1 species
GUAUGAGUAGCUCAGUUGGUUAGAGUCCUAGUUUGUGGUACUAGUUGUCGUGAGUUCAAGUCUCAUCUCAUACCCCA